rnacentral:sRNA from 1 species
UAACCGAGGUUCCACGUGCCGGAAGUCCCUCAGGGGCUGAGCCAAGAGAGCCUAUUUUCCUUUUCUAACUUAAUGACAUAUGAAUAUUCUCUGUAGAGGAGGCUUGUGCUUAACCACGCUGCAUGAAGAACCUGUGUCGUCCAUGAGAAACGGUGAUAUCUGUCAUAACCAGAGAGAAGGCGAUUAAUAAGUGUCACUUUGUUGAUAAAGAACUCAUUAUUUUGGAAUUAGUGGACUGUUGGGAGAUAUUUUUCGGGCAGCAGCUAAGCUCUAAUUUUACAUCAAUUACAAGUCUUUACAAGCAGAAGUAACAUUGUGGAACUUCUGGAUUUAAGCCUCAACAGGACUUGGUUUCUCCUUUCAUCAUUUUGAACCGCUGCUGUUACAUUGGGAAAUCCUAGCCAGCUCGCCUGGAAGGCACAACACAUCCAACAGCCCCAAAUGUCGAGCUUGAGUGAGACUGUUCUAUACUCUCAAGCCGUCACAUGGUAGAAACCACAAGGAGAAUGAGUCAUCAGGUUGUCCAGGUGAGACAACUGCAGCUGUCUUCAAACA